UAUUAAAAACACAGCACUCUGCAAACACGAAAGUGGACGUAUAGGGUGUGACGCCUGCCCGGUGCUUGAAGGUUAAUUGAUGGGGUUAGCUCACGCGAAGCUCUUGAUCGAAGCCCAAGUAAACGGCGGCCGUAACUAUAACGGUCCUAAGGUAGCGAAAUUCCUUGUCGGGUAAGUUCCGACCUGCACGAAUGGCGUAACGAUGGCCACACUGUCUCCACCCGAGACUCAGUGAAAUUGAACUCGCUGUGAAGAUGCAGCGUACCCGCGGCUAGACGGAAAGACCCCGUGAACCUUUACUAUAGCUUCACACUGGACUUUGACUUACUUGUGUAGGAUAGCUGGGAGGCUUUGAAACUUGGACGCCAGUUCAAGUGGAGCCGAUCUUGAAAUACCAGCCUGGUAACGUUGAAGUCCUAACUCAGGUCCCUGAUCGGGAUCGAGGACAGUGUGUGGUGGGUAGUUUGACUGGGGCGGUCUCCUCCCAAAGAGUAACGGAGGAGCACGAAGGUACCCUCAGCAUGGUCGGAAAUCAUGCAAUGAGCGCAAGAGUAAAAGGGUGCUUGACUGCGACACAGACACGUGGAGCAGGUACGAAAGUAGGUUCUAGUGAUCCGGUGGUUCUGUAUGGAAGGGCCAUCGCUCAACGGAUAAAAGGUACUCCGGGGAUAACAGGCUGAUACCGCCCAAGAGUUCACAUCGACGGCGGUGUUUGGCACCUCGAUGUCGGCUCAUCACAUCCUGGGGCUGAAGCCGGUCCCAAGGGUAUGGCUGUUCGCCAUUUAAAGUGGUACGCGAGCUGGGUUUAGAACGUCGUGAGACAGUUCGGUCCCUAUCUGCCGUGGGCGUUUGAGAUUUGAGAAGAGUUGCUCCUAGUACGAGAGGACCGGAGUGAACGAACCUCUGGUGUUCCGGUUGUCACGCCAGUGGCAUUGCCGGGUAGCUAUGUUCGGACGGGAUAACCGCUGAAAGCAUCUAAGCGGGAAGCCCCCUUCAAGAUGAGAUCUCACUGGACCUUUAAGGUCCCUAAAGAGCCGUUCAAGACUAGGACGUUGAUAGGCUGGGUGUGUAAGCGUUGUGAGGCGUUGAGCUAACCAGUACUAAUUGCUCGUGAGGCUUGACCAU
rnacentral:rRNA from 1 species